GCACCGCUAGCUCAACUGGCAGAGCAUCUGACUCUUAAUCAGAGGGUUCUGGGUUCGAGUCCCAGGCGGUGUA
rfam:Trueperella pyogenes strain TP6375, complete genome.